rnacentral:lncRNA from 1 species
GGACCUUUUAUUGCAAAAAGCAACCAGAAAAACAAAAUGACAACGUACAAAACGUGAAGAGGUGGUGCAGCGAGCAGAGCUGCGUGAGCCCCGGCGGCACUGUGGGGCUGCGUGGCCGGGGGGAGCUGGGGGAGUCCCCUGGGAGAUGGGGGGCACCUGAGCAGCCCCCAGGGAUUCUGAGAUCACCCAGGAGCCGGGGGGGGGAGAUGAGCACCCCCAGGGGUUCGGGGACCAGUGGGGUUGGGGGUGAGGGGUGCAGCUGGGAAGUGAGUGCAGCAGCAGGACCCCCCGGCUCUGUGUUACUCAGCCUCUACAGGGAUGGGGUUCACCUGCCCCCCCACUUCAGCCGGCUGCUUCCUGCGUGCGUCAGCAGGGGGUCGGGGUGGGGGGUUGCUGGGGGGCUGCUUGAUGGUGUCCCCCAUGUGCGGCCGCUCCCGGGGCUUCUGCUCAAUGGGGCGCCACUCCUCCCCACGUACCGCUGCCAGCAGGUAGAUGCCGCUGGCAAUGCCCAGACAGACGGUGCCCAGAAUAGUGGAGAGCAGGAAGCCAGCAGGGACGGCCAGCGCUGCAUGCAGAAUAGCACGGAUGUAGUAAUUCCGGGUGAGCGGUCCGAACACCUUCAGCACGGCCGUCAUGUACCUCUGCCCGCAGCGCUCCAUGGUGGAGCCCUUCUGCCUCUUGCUGCGUGGGUACUCCAGCAGGCAGACGAAGGCACCUGCAGCAAUGGCGUACGCAGCGAAGUACCACCCCUUGAACUGCCCCGCCACCGCCACGACCCCUCCGGUCAGCAUAAUCAGUCCGGCCGCCAGCGCCUGUUCGUUGGCCCACAUGGCCCACUCGAUCUGCCCCAUGGCCCGGCUCGGCUUAGUUCGGCUCGGCCCGACCCGGAAGGCAGCGGUGCAGCCGCGCAGCCGAACCCCUUCCCCUCUUU